rnacentral:tRNA from 1 species
GCCCCCAUCGUCUAGAGGCCUAGGACAUCGGCCUUUCAAGCCGGUAACAGCGAUUCGAAUUCGCUUGGGGGCAC